rnacentral:pre_miRNA from 15 species
GGUUUUGACACGAGGUGGCCUGUGGUGGAUUUGCUUUAUUUCUGACCCACAUCGCACGGCAACCUCUUUGCAGAUC